AACUCCACCGGGUCGACGGCGCGGGUCACCACCAGAUAGUCGCGCAGCGCGAUACCGUGUCGGUUUUC
rnacentral:sRNA from 1 species